UACUGGUUAAAGCCAGCUGGUGCAGCUUAUGAUCAGAUCAUCAUCAUUUUGAGGUAAUUGGAAAGGAAAAAUGAAUUUAGUGCAAAACUGAGAAGUGGGCGAAUGAGACAGAUGAUCCAGGGAGUUUUCAAUGAAUUUUCUACUCAGUGCUCAACUUUCUCUUUGACAACCGCUUGAAAAUUUAACAGUUAAUCCCGCUCCGUCAAGUGUGAGGAUGUAGCUUGAUCCAAUCAUGUGAAGCACUUGGACUCAGACCCAGUUAAUUAUUUCAGUGCUUAAAUACUGGCCCUCUUUUGUUGAACUCGUUUUAAUGGCCAAAGAUGGUGUGGAAAAGCCCUUGCUGUCAGGAUUAGUCAAUCCUACAGCUCUGACAAGUAAGAAAGAUGCUUUGAAAAGAAGAUAUCGCCAUUGUAAAAGUGCUCCUCUUGCAGAAUUUGUUCCUGUAGGGACAAACGGGAUUCGCCCAAUUCCACGUUACGAGUCCAUUUUUGGGAAACUACACCCAAGUUUUAAGAAAGUAGCCAUAUUCUUGGCUGUAUACUUAGGUGUAGGAACUGUAAGCUUCUACCUUGUCAGGAACCAGGUAGAGGGAACGAAAACAGAUGGAAUUCUUGAUGCUGUGUAUUUCUGUGUUGUGACAAUGACCACUGUUGGAUAUGGAGACCUAGUGCCUGAUAGUGUCCUUACAAAACUACUUGCCUGUGCCUUUGUUUUCACGGGAAUGGCUCUGGUUGGACUAAUCCUGACCAAAGCAGCAGAUUAUUUGGUAGAGAAGCAGGAAAUAUUACUUGUUAAAGCCUUGCAUAUGCGUCAAAAACCUGGCCCUGCUGACAUUCUGAAAGACAUCGAGACCAACGGAGUGAGAUACAAAUGUAUAACAGUCUUCAUCCUUCUUUUGGUGCUCAUAAUAGCUGGGACAAUCUUCCUAACUACUGUUGAGAAAUUAGACACUGUUGAUGCAUUUUAUUGUGUUUGUGCUACUAUCACAACCCUAGGCUAUGGAGAUAAGAGCUUCUCAACUAAAGCAGGGCGUGCUUUUGCGGUGAUUUGGAUAUUGGCAAGUACUAUUACCUUAGCUCAGUUUUUUCUCUACAUUGCUGAGCUAAAUGCUGAAAAAAGACAAAGGGCGCUGGUCGAGCGGGUUCUUACUCGGAGGAUGACGAAUGUAGAUCUUGAAGCAGCUGAUCUUGAUGAUGAUGGGGUUGUUGACGCUGCCGAGUUCAUCAUAUAUAAGCUGAAAGAGAUGGGGAAGAUUAGUCAAGAAGAUAUUUCACUUAUAAUGGAAGAGUUUGAAGAUUUGGAUGUUGAUCAGUCGGGAACUUUGUCAGCAUCUGAUAUAAUGCUUGCUCAAUCAUCUCAAGCAGAGAGGUGACCUUACCAUCACAAAAUGCUAAUUGGUUUUUAUGACCAUACCAUCAAGAAAAGGAUCUUGAAGAGAAGAGCAAAGGACGUGCACUUUCUGGAUAUUCAUCUGAAGAUGGAAAAGGUAUUGUCAUAUCACUUUUUUUGGUUGAGGUACGCUUCUGUUGGGCAGAUUGACAUCUCUAACAAUUUGCUAUCCAAAUUGUUAUUAAUUUAAAUAAUAAUUGUAAGAGAGCCUGUAUGAGACCUACAUGCCCGAAAUUGCUAGCAAAUUUGGCCAGACAAACAACAAAUUGCUACAGAUUCCAAUCGUUGUUAGGCUUAGCUCAAGAAAAGAGGCUUCCAAGUCUAUUUCCCAUGCCAUUCAUGUUCUAUUCGAUCUUUUCUUGGGAAGGAUUCUAUGCUUGUUUUGCAUUGUAUGAGCAUUUUAUGCUUUUAUUGCAUGUUUUGGUCUAGAU